CGGAUGUAGUUCAUUGGUAGAAUGCCGGCUUCCCAAGCCUGAGAGGGGGGUUCGAUUCCCCUCAUCCG
rnacentral:tRNA from 1 species